rnacentral:rRNA from 1 species
CCUACGGGAGGCAGCAGUGAGGAAUAUUGGUCAAUGGGCGAGAGCCUGAACCAGCCAAGUCGCGUGAGGGAGUACUGCCCUAUGGGUUGUAAACCUCUUUUGUCGGGGAGCAAAAGCCGGACGUGUCCGGCUGUGAGAGUACCCGAAGAAAAAGCAUCGGCAAACCCCGUGCCAGCAGCCGCGGUAAUACGGAGGAUGCGAGCGUUCUCCGGAUUUAUUGGGUUUAAAGGGUGCGCAGGCGGAUUUUUAAGUCAGCGGUAAAAUCGUGGGGCUCAACCCCAUCCAGCCGUUGAAACUGGGGAUCUAGAGUGUGCGAGAGGUAUGCGGAAUGCGUGGUGUAGCGGUGAAAUGCAUAGAUAUCACGCAGAACCCCGAUUGCGAAGGCAGCAUACCGGUGCACAACUGACGCUCAGGCACGAAAGCGUGGGUAUCGAACAGGAUUAGAUACCCCAGUAGUC